rnacentral:lncRNA from 1 species
CCCGAGUACACAUUUGCAAAACAAAGCAAAGAGGAAGCGGAACCGAAAUCCGCAUUGACGUCACAAAAUAAUUUAUGUGUUCUGACCAUAGGUUCUGACGCAAGACUAAUAAGAAAGGUCUCAUCGUGACGAUGCUUUUGGUAAAACGGACGCCAUAUAUAUUUGUCAACGCGUAUCAUCCCUUGAAUCACGUCUCAGAUGAUAAUGCGCACACGUGCGGCUCGACAUUGACGGGCACAGCCACUGAGAGUAUACGUAUAUUGAGAGAGAGAAUUCAAUGUUAUAUAACAAUUAUUGAGAGGAUGAACGCGAUGUGAAAUAAAAAAAUAAAUUUGAAAAACCGACUGCAUACUGUACUAAUUUGAGAAGUAAUGUUGUUGACUUUAUUCUUCAGCGAAUUGGUGAACUCCUGUACUCGGCUGUGAAUCGAAAUCUGACUGUGAUGGUCUUAGACUCUUAGCACGACUGCAAUUGUGGUUAUCGCCGUCCUCGUUCCAAUCGUGAAUCGGUUUCGUAUGCAUUGUGUUGUACUGCAUCUACAUUUGUUGAUACGAUGGAACGUCUGGAGGCAGUGGGUACUGGGGAGGUUACGUCGACGAUUUUGGGAAGGAGGGGGCGAUUGGGUACAGGGAAGGCGAUUGUGGGGUGGGGGUGGCGAUUGCGGGGGAGAUUUUGAUGGUGGGGACUAGGCUUAGACACAAGAUGAUGACACUUAGAUGCUCGGCAACUUUUCGUCAACUUUUGACAUUUUGGGCAACUUUUGACUGCUUCGGGCAACGUUUGUAAUUUUUAUCCUUUUCUGGCUGGGUUUUGUCUUUUUUAGCAGUUAUUUUUAGUUCUAGUAAUUCAAGGUCGAGAUCUUGUGUCUAAUCCCAGAGGGGACGGAGAUGGUAAGGGACAUUAUGGUCAUAUGACUCAUAUCCCGAUAUUUCACACAACCUACUGCAAUGGGUCCACUGAGUCAGUGAAUGGGUCAAUAUUGACACAUUUAUAAGAGAAAUGUAAACUGAGUAUACUCAAAGCUCGAGUCUUGGAUGCAUCUGGGAUGUCACAGUUAUAUCUCAAAUCCUUGAUAUAACCACAGAUUGGAGAACAUAUAAACAAUGAAAACGUAUACUAUUUUAAGACUUAAAGCUCUAAACUUUGAGUGGACUUUUCAAUAUCGGUGGAUACUUUUAUAUUAUAAUUUCAAUACAUCGACAUGCAUUAAGCAACGACGAUGUACGACAAUAAAUAGACAACUUGCAUGUUAGACUAAUUUUUGAUUUAGACAAAAAAAGUAAUAAAUUUAGUAUACGUGGUGUUUCCACAAACAAAACUAUUAUAUUUUUUCGCCAUGCAAACAUACAAAGAACUUAAAAAAAGUAAAUUCCCGUAAAGAACUUAUCAAAAUCAGUAAAAUUGCAAAAUUUGGUUACGAAAUGUUGUAAAAUACAGAAAAUAUAGCCUUGCGAAGUUUGCAUAUUUUCAGUAUGUUUGUAUUACGUGCGGAAAUUGUUGCCUUUUCGAGCCGAAAAUGGUAACAAUUUCCGCACGUAAUACAAAUAUACUGAAAAAUGCAAACUUCGCAAGGCUAUGUUUUCUGUUUUUUACAACAUUUCGCAACCAAAUUUUACAAUUUACUAAUUUCAUUACGUUCUUUUUACCUGUUGUGUUUGAUUCCCUUCUCUUUACUUAGAUUAAAAUUUAGUCUAAUAUGCAAGUUGUCCAUUGACAGCCGUUGACAGCUAUCAGAAUCAGAUGAAAUUGUUGAUUAUGUAUUUAAAUCAAAUAUGCAUGUACGCUGGCCUCUAUUGUAGAUAUCUACGAUUGUAUUACACAAAGUAUUCCGCAAAACAAUACAAAAGCUAUAUUCCAUAUUUUUAUACAGAUUAAGGUCAAUGAAUUGAUAACUACCAGAAUGAGAAAAAUAGGUACGCACUGCCAUGCUUUCUGGCAUCCUUGUGUAGAAAAGUAGGACAAAAGUAGGACUAGAAUUUUAGGAAAAGUAGGAAUAAAGCAGGAAAAUGUGUAGAAACG